CAGCUCUACGCACGACCUAUGCAACACUAUCCAGAGUCUGCUCGUUUUCAGAGCAGGCUCUCCUAAGAGCGUCGAGGGUCUUGGGCGGGAGAUCCGGAUGUUUGACCCCGAACAUGGUCACCCCCGGCGAAGUGUUGUGCGCCCUUCCAGGUAAAAAUGCUCGAGUGUCACUCGAUGUCUUGCUAAAUGAGGUGCACCAUAAGUGUGGGCCUGUGCUGCAGAAAGACAGUCAACGGUCUUGUGGUGGUCCGCGCGCGCGAACGCUAGAAUGCCACCAUUUUUGCCGCCAUACGCACCAGUAUUGCAACGUGGAUUAUAUGUGUGCAUUGUAUGUAUGGUCAAUAGGAACAAUGCCGGCAGUGAAGAUGAUUGACUAAAUUGGUGAUAGUGGCCAUCGCUUAUUUUAGCAUGUCCGUUUAAUUAAAAGACCAGCCAAGAGUGUGCAUCAUAUGAGCUUACAGGCUUUGCUCAGCGCAUCGGAAGCGGAGCGGAUUAUCGGACAACUUGCUCCAUGGACACUUGACGCUUGAAGAAGUAAGUGUUCGUCGGGAAGUCGUCUCCGCUUUG
rnacentral:lncRNA from 1 species